rnacentral:lncRNA from 1 species
AAUGAUUUGCGUUUGGUAUUUCACUCAGUCACUCAGGUCACCGAUAGCCUACUGUCUUUCGGCAACAACUAUCCACGCGAGAUCUCACGUGACUUUUCCGGCUUUUGAUUUUAGUAUUGUUUCUUAUAUGAGGCUCCUUUUUCAACUUCAAGGUCAAUAUUGUUUUUCGCUAACGACAAAACAACGAAUUAUCCGUGCAUUUAUAUGGAACUUAACUUAAGGAGCUUUCCACCUUUACUCUCCUCCAUGUUACGUUGCUCUCGGGGAUGGACACUCCUCGACUGGCAGGAUGGCAGCGAGCGGAAGACUGCUAAUUAUCCUUUCAGUGCAAGUAAGGGGACACUAUUGGGAAAUUAUGAAGCUAUAAAAGUAAGUAUUACAAUUUUUAAAAUUACAUAUUUACAAUAUUAUUUAGGUAAAUAUACAAACUCAGAACUUUGAUUUUUUUCCAUAACUGAGUAAACAAAGCU